AAGUAUAGAAGCGAUAAAUUGCAAUUAGUUUCGACCUAAAAUUAGAUGAUAUACAUCCUUACUUU
rnacentral:tRNA from 1 species